CAGAAGAAGAAACUUCUCUCUCGAUUUCGAUUCCUUUCUUCUUCGUCGAAAUCGACCAGUUUCAUCUUGGAUUUCGAUUAAUGUUUACUAGAUUUCGAUUAAUGUUUACUCAAUUUCGAUCCUAGAGUACAGAUCUUGGAUUUGGUAGAUUGAAUACUCAAUCGUCUUUACCAUGUAACCCUAAAUUCGAAAUUGGGUGAACUGAUUGAACCACCACCAUUACCAACUUCGUCCUCUGCUUUCUACAUCGAAAUUGAGUGGAUUGAUUGAACCACCAUCAACAACUUCGUCAGCGGGGGAUACAGCUAUGCCAUGGCUACAUGGAUACAGAAGUGUUUUCAAUACAAUGACAGCUGAAGAAGCAACGGUGUUGAACCUAGAGUGUAUGGGAAUGGAGUAUACUCAAGGUUGAGGAGUUCAGGUGAGGGUUACAUUACUUUCUGACUGAAUUUCUCUAUUUCAGCUUGCAAAUUAAUGGGUAAUGCGCAUUUUGCUGUAUGCAAAUUUUAUUGUUGUUAUAUUCAUUGAAUUUAUUCCAUUGUUUUAGAAUUUGAUUGUUGUUCUAUCCAUGUUUUGUUGAUGGAAUAGCUCCUGUUUGUCUAAAUGUCUAACAUAAUACCAACAAUGUUUUAACAUCUUCUAUUACUAUUGUGGAUGGAUUCAUCGAGUUCUCAUCCACGACAAAGUCCGAGACUUAAUGAUCUAGCCCGAGUUCGAGAGCUAACGGAGAGUGAUACUGAAAAAGAAAGGCGGCUGCGCCGUGCUCAAUAUACGGCAAAACUAGAUUCAACUACGGAAGGCGACCUACAAGAGCGCAAUGAACGACGCCGUGCAGCUUAUUGUGCAAGAAUUAGUGCAGCAAAUCGCCAACCAUAUGAACCUGAAGCCAGUUCAAGUAUACAAGUUUCAGUAUCAGCUGGGGAGCAUAACGCAGAUCCAAGUUUCAUUCUUCGGCGAAGUCUGAGAAUUCAGCUGCUAUAGAGAGCACUUUAGUUGGACAUACGCCAUAUUGCAAUGAAAUAAAGACGAAGCGCAAUGAGUGAAAGUGACAAAUAUAGGAUCCUUGAACAACGACGAGCUUAAAUGCGAAGAAAAAUAAAGGGUGAUGCAACUAAUAAUGAGCACAGAGCGGGACCAAGUACUGCUGGCAGCCUGUAGCUUCCUUUGAUAGAUGAAGUGCAGGAGCUUAAGUCAAAGUGAGACCUUGGGUACUGAGGCUGAAGUACGAGUGAGUACACGAACAACUUCUGAGCUGAAAUGUUGGCAGCUGACAGCUGAGAUGGUCUUUAACGCUGAAGUUCAAGUUCAAUUGAUGUCACCACUCAAUUGCUAUUAACCAGUCGUGCAAAAUUGUUGGACUUGGUUACCUGAGUGAGUAUUUUUGCUUCUAGACCCUUCCAUGUGUAAAAGUCCUUUUCAAUUUUUCAAGCCUGAUUAUGGCCUCUGUACUAAAUGUUGGAAAACAAAACUAAUGUAAUACAAAUUAAUAAAAUUCAUCAUUUACCAGUUUACAUCAAGAUUUGAGCA